GCCGGGGUGGCGAAAUGGUAGACGCAAAGGACUUAAAAUCCUUCAGAUUUUUAUCUGUGCCGGUUCGAGUCCGGCUCCCGGCACCA
rnacentral:tRNA from 1 species